UCUUUACCUCUCUCGCCUCUUUCUCGAUAGACCACCGGCCAACAAACAACAAUGGAGACCUCCGGCCAACAGCUCCUCCUUCCGGCAUCACCAUCCUUCUCCGGCGAAUGGCAGCGGCGGGAAGCUCCGAGGGUGAGCCAAAGCUUCCAUCUUCUUCUCGUUCAGCGGCAGCAGACGAAGACCAGCGAAGCAAUGUAGCGGUAUUUCCCUCCCUCGCUUUGUGUGGAAAUACCAGCCGGCAGCCUCCCCUGUUUUGAUGAAGUCCGGCGAGAGCUAUCAGCAACAGGGCGGUGGUCUACCUCCCCCGUUCCCAUUCUCGCGAGCAGAGUGUAUCGAAGAAGGCGACGGGCGAUGCUGAGCAGCGGCGAUCCUCACUCGUCGACUUCUUGGGUGGCGUCUUCUUCCACUUCUUGGCGGCGGGUUCUCCGUCCAAGCGUGGGCAGUAGCGGCGGUCAGAAGCAGCAAUGGGAGCGAGUCCUCUUCCUUCGGCGUCUAGGUGGUGGCAUUAGAGGCCUUGAUCGUUGAUGGUGGCCACGGUGGUUCGGCAAUGGAGUUCGGCGGGCGGUGUCUGGUCUUGUAUUGUCGUUUGCGUGUUAUAACAGAAAGGAACGGUGUGGCUUGGUGGUAUGGUAGUGGUGCAUUGAGUUAGAGGGCAAGAGUUCGAACCUUAUAGCAUAUUGAUUUUAAGGGCUUGAGGAGAAACAGUUUGUGAAAGCAACGCAUGCUGAUCAAGACUCGGGAUUGGAUCCUAUUUUAACCGAUUUGGUAUAGAUGUUGGUAUACAAUCCAGAGUCCAGGUUCCAAAAUUUCAAGACUCAAAGUAUUCAUAGCCUCCCAGUAUAUAGUCAAGACUGUCAACUGUGGCCAGAGCUGGGAUAUCUGUAGUAGCAAUAGUAGGAG